AUUGGUACAGCCCUUCCCAUGGGGAGACUCCCUACAGACAGCCCCUCUGCACAGAAAGGAUGCCAGCAUCUCUGUCACUGCACCCUCCCUGCUCCUUCAGUGGUCAAUUGAUCACCAGACUUGAGGAAGCAGCUCUGGUUGAGGUGCCAGGAGCCACUUAGAAGAGGAGAAGAGGGCGGAUGCAGAACUGUUAGUGUGGGUAAAAGCAAGUCUGUUUCCCCAGCCAGGGUUUAUGUAUCAUUUACAAACCAUUUAAAAUCCAGGGAGGGCUAGGAUAAAGGCCUGCGGUGUUAAGUGUGCCACCAGGCGUCGCUGUUGCGCGUAAGUGAGGACUUAGGCAUUUCUGUCACCAUUUCUGAGUAAGAGACCUCAAAGGACAGCUCUUCAGCCUCUGCUGGAACGUUCUUCCCGUGAUAAUCAUCAUCUAAAGAAAAACAAGAGACAGGAGACGCAGUACAACCUUGAGCCGUUUGCUGCAAAACAAACCACCGAUGUUUACAAGGUGCAAGAAAGGAACUUAAAAAUGUCAUCAGAAAAAAAAUGUGGUUACAUAAGCAAAGUCAUAAAAGGCUGCCCAGGAGAGCAAGGAUAAUGUUGCAACUCUGGAAGGAAGUUUACCUCAUCAGAGGACAAAGGACAAGGAACUCCUCCAUGGAUGCGCUGCUGUCUACUGAGGCUUGAGAGUUGGAGCGACUAAAGGAGGGAGGAUGCAGGGAUUCAUUGGAGAGCAUCCUGUUGAUUCGUCGGCAGCGAGGAAUGGAUUUUCUGAGGAAAGAGAAACAUUUGAAUGAAACUGGGUGCCUGUGUAAAGCCAUGCACGCGCGCACACACACACACACACACACACACACACACACACACACACGCACGCACAUGUACUCGCACGCGAACAGGCACAGACACACCUCAGUUCAAAGUCAACAAGGAACAGUUACUGCCACAGGGAGAGCACCAUUCAGUGGGGAUUCUGCGCCCCCCUCCCCCAUAUUUCAUAAUGAGUCUGUAUGGUAACAUGAACAUUAAUAAGAUAUUCAAAUUAAAAUUUAAAAAUAAUUUUCACACAUAAG
rnacentral:lncRNA from 1 species